GAGCAUCGCUCUGUUGAAGGAGAUAGCAACCUAUAUCCAUCGAUUCAAUCGUCGAAGCAUCGAGACGUCUGCCUCGCUUGCCAUUGUGGCGUUCACGAGUUUGAAAGCUAAAAACCAAGGUCUUCAACUCCAGCUCAAAAAGAAAGCAUUACAACUAGAGCGAAGCGUCAAUUGGAAUUCCACGACUCAGAUCCACCGUUGAAAAGGCCUGGCAAAGGGAGCCUCACGAACUAAGACCCAGUUAACAGAAGUUCGUCCUUUUGUCAACCAAUACAAGAACGGCAAGUGGGAUGGCGGUCAAGAGCUAAUUCCUUUUGUGCAGAUGAUGAUGACUGCCUGCUAACUACACGCUGCAUAUACAAGCAGCGUAACAAAUCAGCCUUGUAAAACAUGGCUGAAUGUUGUUAAUCACACCAACAUGCAUGCCUGAACAUACAAUUUUUUGAUGGCUGCGUUUGUUAACAGCAGCGUGAUAACAUAAUGCUAUUCAGUUAUCGACAUAACCAAAUCUCGCUGCUGUAACCAAGUGAAUGUUGCGCAACGCGCGAACGCUCGAAUACCCCUAGUUUAAUUAAAUGUGAACUUGAUUUUCACCUACAACCAACUUAAUAUCAGGAAAUUCAUGUUCGGCAUAUGUUUUGGUUGAAAUUCACACCCUCUUGUCUUUGGAAAGAGGGAUGGGGUAAACAUUUAUAAAUAUAAUUGGAUUAAUUAUAUAUGUUUUAGGAUUGCUUUGUAAUUAUUAUAGGAAAUGUGUCUCAAGAUUUGAGAAGUGGCGAUGGUGUA